rnacentral:snRNA from 1 species
AGAUGUGAGGGCGAUCUGGCUGCGACAUCUGUCACCCCAUUGAUCGCCAGGGUUGAUUCGGCUGAUCUGGCUGGCUAGGCGGGUGUCCCCUUCCUCCCUCACCGCUCCAUGUGCGUCCCUCCCGAAGCUGCGCGCUCGAUCAAAGAGGACGACCUUCCCCAAUAGAGACGGUACCGUUCAUCGGUCAAGGGUAUAUGGUAGCUGCACUCCCCUACUAGAAUCUCCAAACAAGCUCAAAUAAUUUGCAACUCUGUUCCUGAAGGAAAUAAAUAUUGGCAUGAGAACAGCAUGUGCCACUU